GAUGAACGCUGGCGGCGUGCCUAAUACAUGCAAGUCGAGCGAACAGAUGAGGAGCUUGCUCCUCUGACGUUAGCGGCGGACGGGUGAGUAACACGUGGAUAACCUACCUAUAAGACUGGGAUAACUUCGGGAAACCGGAGCUAAUACCGGAUAAUAUAUUGAACCGCAUGGUUCAAUAGUGAAAGACGGUUUUGCUGUCACUUAUAGAUGGAUCCGCGCCGCAUUAGCUAGUUGGUAAGGUAACGGCUUACCAAGGCAACGAUGCGUAGCCGACCUGAGAGGGUGAUCGGCCACACUGGAACUGAGACACGGUCCAGACUCCUACGGGAGGCAGCAGUAGGGAAUCUUCCGCAAUGGGCGAAAGCCUGACGGAGCAACGCCGCGUGAGUGAUGAAGGUCUUCGGAUCGUAAAACUCUGUUAUUAGGGAAGAACAAAUGUGUAAGUAACGAUGCACGUCUUGACGGUACCGAAUCAGAAAGCCACGGCUAACUACGU
rnacentral:rRNA from 1 species